rnacentral:rRNA from 1 species
GAUGAACGCUGGCGGCGUGCUUAACACAUGCAAGUCGAACGGGAAACCUUUUAUUGAAGCUUCGGCGGAUUUAGCUGGUUUCUAGUGGCGGACGGGUGAGUAACGCGUGGGUAACCUGCCUUAUACAGGGGGAUAACAGUCAGAAAUGACUGCUAAUACCGCAUAAGCGCACAGAGCUGCAUGGCUCGGUGUGAAAAACUCCGGUGGUAUAAGAUGGACCCGCGUUGGAUUAGCUAGUUGGUGAGGUAACGGCCCACCAAGGCGACGAUCCAUAGCCGGCCUGAGAGGGUGAACGGCCACAUUGGGACUGAGACACGGCCCAGACUCCUACGGGAGGCAGCAGUGGGGAAUAUUGCACAAUGGGGGAAACCCUGAUGCAGCGACGCCGCGUGAAGGAAGAAGUAUCUCGGUAUGUAAACUUCUAUCAGCAGGGAAGAAAAUGACGGUAC